rnacentral:lncRNA from 1 species
GGAGAGGCAGAGCGCAGGCAGCUGGAUAAAUUCGCAGACGUGGAAUUCCUGGAUCAAAUGUGUCCUCAUCUGUCAAGUGUGGAUGACACUGGUGCCCGUCUCCGAGGCUACUUGUAAGGAUUAAACACCACCAGCAGGGAGAAAAGCUUGAGCCCCUUCUACUGGCUGUACCAUAGACAAGCAGGCGGAGAAAUGAGCAGGAGGAGGAUGAAGAUGGAGAGUCAGUAGGAACGGGGAAGAGGGCUUCUUGCCAUGGAACAUUUGCCACCUAGUGACCAUUCUGAGUGGUGAUACUUGUUCUCGUCUUCUCAGCCUGGCAGCCUGCCCUUGACUCCUGAGUUCUGUGAGCCCUUCAAAACUGCAAGUCAUUCUCAAAAGAAAUUUGGGUUUACCUAGUGUGCACCUUUGAGAGUUUGGGAACAGUAUGCAAAUUCAAGUUACCCUCAUGUUUUCUCGCUAUCUGGUUUCUCUGCCUAUCGUUCCCUCUGCGCAUGUGUAGUCAUACAAAACAAUUUUUGGCCUUGUUAUUUGUCCUGUGAAUGUUGGCAUUUGCUUCUUAUACAGUAGAAAUUAGCGUUGUAUAUUUGUCAGUGAUAUAAAACUUUCAAUAACUGUAAGUCUAUAUAAGUUGGGUAAGAAUAUCAUCCAAGCAAAGAAAAGAACCAAGAAGGUAGAUGAUAGAAAUGCAAGAGAAGAGGAGAGGACAAGAAAGGUGGUGUCUCUAGCAAACAGAAUGAGGGGUCCUGAAAUGCUUGCUAAUGGGGAAACCAAGACCUCUGCGGGGCAUUUAUUUUGGUAUUAAUGAGUCAGUCAAGAAAAAUAAGAAAGCUAUUAGGGUCAGUGUGCCAAGGGGCACACUAGAAUCAUUAAGAAAAAUCAUACAUAACUCCAAAUGCCAAAAUAGAGAAAAUGAAAAGAGAUUUGUGUUUGUGGCUUCUAAAACAGAGAAGGCUGAAUGGGCCUCUUUGCCUCAUCUGCCAGCGAGCCUAGCAAAAAAUGCAAAUUUAAAUUUUGAUCGGGAUGGAAAAUUGUAACAUUCAUCGUGAGUAACGCGUGGUUGGACAGGUUUAAGAAACACCAGGGUGUGUAUGAAAAGAAGUGGCUGGCAGAGGAAGCCGACCGUGAAGCUGCCGCGGACUGUCCUGGAUACCCGAAGAAACUGAUGGAGAAAAAUCGCUAUUUGCCUGAAGAGGUCUUCAGUGCUGAUGAAACAGUCCUGUUCUAGAAGCGCAUGGCUACUUGCACAUUUAUUGCGAAGGAUGAGAAAAAGACCUGAGGCUUCGAGCCUGGAAAAGAUAAGCUCAAAGUUCUGCUUUGUUCCAGUGCUUCUGGUGACUUUCUGAUUAAACCGCUGUUGCUUCACAGAUUCCACAUUUCUUGCCCUCUUAAAAGAAAUUGCCAGAAACACUUUUCUGUGUACAUGAAGGGAAACCAUAAAAUAUGGAUCACUGAGAAAUUCCUGUUGGACUGGCUUUUGAAGUGUUUUGUUCCUGAGGUUAAACAGUAUUUAAACCCAAAACAUCUUGAAUUCGAGGUGUAACUGAUUCUGGACACGGCUCCCACUGACAAAAGCAUGAUCCUUGUAUUAAAGGCAGCUGUAUUCCCCCCAGUACAUCUCCACUCUUUCCACCCUUGCACCUGGGAGUGUAUUUGAUUGACUACCUGGCAAAUCUUACGAGAGAGACACCAGAAAUUACCGUGGAAAUAGCUUGGUAAAAUUUCUCCAUUUGUAACACUUUGAUACUAGUAGGAGAAUCAGUGAGAGAGAGAAAAUGAUCAACCCUUAACGGAGACUGGCAGCAACUUUGGAAUGAAGUUGUAAGUGAUUCUGAAGCUUUCCUUCCAGUGCCUGAAGAAAUUGAAAAUUUGGUAGCAUCUGCAGAACAUACGGGUGGUGACGGAUUCGAAGACAGUGAAUUAAGUGACGUUGCUGAACUGUUAGAUUCUCACCCUCAGAAGAUGGUUGAGAAAUAUUUCAGAGAUGGGAUCCCAUCAAAAGUUGAUGAAAGAUGUCAGCGUAGAUUACCUUCUAGAACUCAAAGAAUGUGGAAGCACCCACUCCGCAAAUCAAGUUGUCAUGGUGAUUCACAGGAAAGAGAUCCUUCGCUGGAAUAUUUAUUGACCUACAGGGAGAAGAGGCUGUACUACCGGGCUGUGUCACUCAAGCCCUUGCCCAAAAAAGCAGGCACAAGGGCCUCACACUGAUGCUUGAACCUGGGGAUUCAGACUCUGGCAGCUCUGAUGAUGAGUGAUGAUCCGUGUGCCCAAGAAUGAGAGUGAAGCAGGACACUGAGUUUACUCAGAUCCAGACAAAACCCUGUCACUGCUGUGAUGAUCAGCAUUUUCACUGAUGCAUGAUGUUCCUCACUUUGAGAUCAGAGAGAAAUAGAAAUUAAUUGCCCUGUCAUCACUAUGACUAAUGUAAAAUUAGUAAAAUGCCACCCGAAGUCACUUGACGUAGUGUUUUAUUUCAAUGAACUAACCAAUUGCCUGAGCUUUCAUAAUUAUUCAUAACUGCCCUGCCCCAGUUUCCCCCUAAACUCUUCAGUUCCUCCAACACACAUUCCCCUGGAAUGAGGGUUUCAGGAACUUGACUCUAGGACCUAAGGAGGGGGCUACUCUACUUGAUCGUAAAAUUUGAUUUUUGUACUCUUUAUCCUGAAGUUUAUAUUUUAUUCUGUUUAAGCUUAAGUUGCUCUCUCAACAGAAAGGAUCUAAAUCUUCUCCUUUUAAUGAGUCUGGUGCAAUUUAAUUUGUUUUCCAGCAACAGUAUAAGGUCCUGAAAGGCAUGGUUGGUCCCGGAAGGCAGUGCCUUUAUAAUGGGUUCCUGGAUUUACUUUGGUACCUAAUCAAGGAGGAGAAGCUGCUAGAGUUCAUUUCCAUCCAUCUUUUCUGUUGUCAUAUCUGGUCUUUCUGGUGAUUUGAAUGGUUGAAUAUCUUCCAGGAAAGGAAUAUGGAAACUUUGUCUUCCCUAAAGAUGGUAGAAAUCCAAUAAUUUUCCCCCCAGCAUGGUGGUCUGGAAUGAUAGGCUACCUGUAUCUGAGUUUGAAGUGAUGAGAGUAAAGGAAAAAAAUACAAAAGUUAAGAGGGCUUGUGUGCGUAGUUACAGUGGAGAUUGCGUUCUUGAGUGUAUGUUCAAAAGAGGCACAUCAGAGUUGAAAACCCAUUACAGGUGAUAGGGAUCUAGUGACUUCACCACGGUGCCAGGGGAGCUUACAUUCCUCUCUAAGCCGCAGCGGUUUUCAACACUGACUGCCCAUCAAAAUCAUUAUGGGGAGCUUCAGAAAAUACAGGUUACUGGGACCUGCCCUGGACAUGUUGAAUUAGGGAUGAGGCCUGUUGGGUCGGUCGCUGUUUCUUUUGAAAGCUCCUCAAGUGAUUUUUUUUUUUUUAAAUACAGCCUUGGCUGCAAACCCCUGCUCUAUGUCUCAACAUAAUUAUGGUAGACAAUGUAAUCCUAAUGGUUGUGGGCCUAAGGGCUAGGAGAUGUUAAUUCCAGGUUUCCGUUCUGCCACUUGCACAAUGGAUGGAAUUACUCAAAUCAUCCUACUUUUUAUCUGUCGAAUGAGAGAAGAGGCCCACUUGGUGUCAGAUGUCCUUCUAUCUCUGGCAUCGUUACCUUGAGAAAAAGGAGCAUCAACCUCAUUGGUUGAUUUUGAGAGUUCUAAGCCUUUUCAUAGAGACCAAAGUAAGUAGUAGUAUUACUGUAUUGCAUUCUUACCAUUUUCAAAAUUGUUGUUGCGGUUCAAGCUCUACCAUGUUUUAAUCCCUCUCGGAAAAGAGAGUUAGGCAUUGAUGCCAUAGAAAAGAGGGAAACUGGAGUUCCCGUCAUGGCUCGAUGGUUAAUGAAUCCGACUAGGAACCAUGAGGUUGCAGGUUCCAUCCCUGGCCUCGCUCAAUGGAUUAAGGAUCCGGCAUUGCCAUGAGCUCCGAUUAGACUCCUAGCCUAGGAACCUCCAUAUGCCACGGGUGUAGCCCUAGAAAAGGCAAAAAGACAAAACAAAAGAAAGAAAGAAAAAAGGGAAAACAAUAUAUCAAGUCCCUGAAAGGAAAGAUAGAGAGUACUUCCUGUGAGGUUUUUGUGUGUUUUCUUUUAAUGUGAUAUUGCUCUUUUUCUUCUGAGUUAUAGAGUCUGCAUUAGAUAUAGAAUGCAUAGAUAAUGAGUAAAGCACUUUAACAUUUGUAUCUAUUUUUUCAUAAACCAAAGCAGAGAACUCUGUGUUACUGUUUCAAGGUUCCAUGCAUAAUUGGUGUACUCUUAAUCAUACCUCGAGGUAAAUAUUUUUAAGUUAAUGAUGGUUUUACCAGCAUAAUCAGUACUUCCGUAUGCCUUUAAAGAAUGUGGUUUCCUGAUAAUUUUACCAUUUAUUGAGGUUAUUGUUUUGGUAACUUCUUCUGUCUUAAUUUGACCAGGAUUAGGGAAAUCACGUUUUAAAUUUAAUAGCAUCAACCAGGAACUGUUAAUAUAAAGUAAUACAAUGGGAAACUGACUAUUGUAUGAUUUUGGUUGUGGUAGGAAUGCCUAGACUUUGGCCUGAUAUAUGGAAACCUUUGUUUAGGGCCUAGGCCAUUCGAAAUAAAAUAUUGGGAUAAGUCUAAUUCUUAUUUAAGGCAAUAUUCAGUUACAAUAAUCUAAGAUGUAUCCUUGAUGAGGGUAAAAGAACAUUUUAAUAUGGUCGAGUUUAACAAGUCAGCAGAACUUAGAGGAGGAUGUGAAAGUUGGUGUAAGCUAAGUAGCAGAAAUGGAAGUUAAUAACCAUAGUACCAUGUACAAAGGUUUUUCUUUUUCCUUUUUAAAGUUAAGAAUAGUCUGCAAAAUUGAAAAACUGAAAUUUCUUUUAGUAUAUUUUAUACACAAUUUGAGUGGAAAGAAUCUCUGGUAAAAUGGUUCAGGUAAACUCUUGUAUCACUAUUAUGAAGUGCAGAGAAAUUUCCUCCUUUAUAGACGUAUUUAACACCGAGCAAAAGGAAAAAAGGGUAGAAAGGACAGCCCAGGUUGCUGAAAUUUGUAGAAAAUAUUAGAAAACUGGCAUUACAUUUAAAAAGAGCUUUUGUUUGCUUAAAAUCUUUUAGGAUCAAAAUGCAGAGAUGGCUCUUUAAACUACACAUUUGGAUUACAUAGCUGCUGGCUCCUGAAUGCUAAUAAAGGGCUUCUACAGCGCGUAUGGUCUAAAACCCUGCCUGGACCAUGUCUGUGUUGUGAAAGACAUUGCUCACUGAACUUUACAUAGUUUUAGUACCUUUCAGUGGCUUUUCAUGUCAGUUGUUAUGGUUGUUUUUCUAUGAAUUCAGAAAUAAACAUGGCGUGCUAUGAACAGAGUGUAUAUCUUCUCGGGAACCAUACAGUCAAAUAGAAAAUGGGUGAAAGGAUAGUAGUGCAAUUCAUUAGCAUGAAUAACCAAUAUUGAAAAACUAAACAUGAAUCUGUUGUGCUGGAGACAUUGCAUUUCAUCUUUCUUGCAUCACUCCUUAAAGCCAAGGACAUAAUUAACACAUCACUGCAAACACGUAGAGUCUGCUCUUGAUGAACUG